CAUGAGUCACAGCAGCUGCCUCAAGAGUGGGAGGGGAAGUAAACUACUGGAUCUAAGGAUCACUCUAGUCACCCUACAGUGACUCCUCUUUUUCCCUCCUGCCAUGGUCCAGGGUAGCCAGAUACUUCUCCAGGCUGUCACUUACGUGGGCUUCCCUGCUGGCUACAUCACUGAAAUAGAAUCUCCUAGUGGCCCUUCUCCCUCUACAGCUCUGGUGUUACAUUGAAAAACUAGAAGUUUCAAAAUAGACAAGGGAACAAGAGAAACAUCAGAAAGUCCGAUCAAAGUAGAAGCAUCAUGUGUCUAUCAACGUAUCCACUGUGCUUGGACACAAUUGCAGGCCCUUGAAAUCUUUUGCCUGGAUUAUUGCAACAACUUCCAAAGGGACUCAUCUGUCUCCAGGACACCCCUCCAUCCUCCUCUGCAUCAUCAUCAGGGGAACCUUGGUAAAGCAAAGCCAUGAUCAUGCUUAUCACCUGGUGGAAACCCUUCAAAGACUCUCCACUCACCAGAGCAGGCACCACAUCCUUACAGUCUACAGAAGGCAGGAGGAAACAGAAAUGAGUGCCAGGUCCAUAGGUAGGCAAUGGGGAGCAGUGGGGAUUGCAGUAAAAUGGAGUUUGGCUGUUUAAAGGCACCCAAACUCAGAAUUCUGUAAAAUCUUCUAUGGGCCAAAUAAAGUUUGUCUUG